GGUAAGAAGGAGGUGGAAUUGACUGGAAAGGGGCACAAGAGAACUCACUGGGAUGUUGAAAAGUUUUUGAAAUUGAUUUGGGUGGUUGUUUACAUGUGUGUAUGCAAUUGUCAAACCCCAGUGAACCACAAAGACGGGCGCGUUUCACAGUCUUCAAAUUAUGCCUCAAUUAAUCAGUUAGUGGACAGUGCUUGAGAUCAGCAGGAUAAAGCUCGUUUCUAUCCAAGCACACUUGCUGCAUCUUCACUCGUCCCUGACCAGAUCCCAGUGGCCCAGUGGACUCCCCUUUCCGGCACUGACAUGAGGGAGAAUAAGUUCUUGAAAACUGCUAAAUCAUCCUAGGUUGGUUUGAGUUACCAAAGUGGGCAGAAUAAAUGUUAUUUCUCCAAAAAAGUGAACUAGUAUAUGAUAAGGUCCCAGAGCCCAUGUGAUGGAAGAUGAGGGCCUCAAACCUGGAGCUCAAGAUUCUCAAGUCUCCUGGUGCCUUCCUCUCUUCUUGGAGUUGGGAGACAGAGCAAGGCCAGAGAAAGAGAAGGUGCUAGUUGCUGCAUCUUUCUCACAAAGAAGGACUCAGAAUCAAGUGAUGUCUGGACAGCGUUCAUGGUCAUCUGCUGUCACAUGCGGUUACAUUUUGUAAUCCAGAUGUAUCCAUUUCUGAGAAGCAUUUCUAAGGUGUAUUUUCUAUCUCUCAAAAUGUACACAUUCAGCCCUUUCAUAAAAAUAUGAUUAAAGUUCAUUCUAAAAUU
rnacentral:lncRNA from 1 species